ensembl:lncRNA
UUCUUAGUGAGACUAUGCCUCUGGACUUUGAAACUGACAAGUAUUUCUCAGGGUUUUUUUCUCCCCACUUCGGUGGGACAGGAUGGGCUGGAGUUGGGUAUUUCCCUUCCCCCAGGCCAGUUAGGCUCUGAUAAUACCUCAGCAGGUUGUUAUCUGGUUAACUAGUUUCCCUGAGAGCAGGCCUUGUUAAGAACAGAGUGCUCUGGUAUAUUUCAAAUGGCUCCUUUUCCCCUCCCCCUCGGAAGCCCAAGGGGAUUCUGCUCAGAUAUUUACUGUGAGAACUCCACCAAGUUCUUAGAGGUAAAACUCACAUAAGUUUGGGGCCCUCCCUAAGACUUGGUCCCCCUGCAGUUUUUAACUUUCAGACUUGUCCACAUUGAGUCUUCUUUAAUUCAUUAAUCACAGUGCAGGUUUUCCUCCCCCUGCACUGGUUCCCACAGCAGUAUCCACUGAAGACUGCUCAGCUCCUGGUAACUGUUACUGAGCCCUAAAGGACCGGUGAACCGCAAGUGGGUCCUGUUUCCCAGAGCUGCUCGCGCCAGUAGAAGGAGACCGGGUUCAGAGCAGCAGAGCGCAAACUUUAUUCGUUGAUCAAUGAAUGGAGGAGGCAGAGCUCAUGCUCUAAAAACACCGUCUCCUCCAAGGGAAGCUUGGAGGUGGAGAAAAGUGCCAAGGACAAGGCCAUGAAGAAUUUGUCUGGUGCCAGCCACAGGGGUGAAGGUGAGGUGAAGCCACACAUUCUUCAUCUCCAAGGAGCCAGGGUCCAGGAAGAGUCCAAGACCGGGCAUCCUCAUGCCACCCAGUGAUCCUGAUGUGCCCCUAGGUUUGGACAUCUGUGAUACAUCUCACCCUUUGCCUUCAGAACUGGAUGUGACCUCUCGGUGUCAUUUGAUGAAACGAGGUCAUUAUGCCUAAGGAUUCAACUACCACCUGUAUUAUGCACGAUGACUCUCCAACCUAUACGUCCAUCCAGACCUCUCUGAUGAGCUGAGAGCAACAUCUCCAACUACAUUCUCAACAGCCACACCAACUUGUGACCUCCCUGACCAAUCUGCUUCUCAAAGCUGAAACCCGGGCGUCCCUCACUUUGCAAUCCAAUGGUUACCAAGUCAUGUUAUCUGUCUCCUCCUUUGCACUUUACUUGGGGCCUUGAUUGCCUCUUUACUGGAUUAUUUUAACACUCUUUUUACUCAUCUCUUAGGACCCAAACUUCUUCCUGCUUCAAGUCUAAGUUCUAAAAUAUGGCUAUGAUCACAUCAUCUUUCACUUCUACUUCACAUCCUUCAAUGGUUUCCAAUAACCUACAGGAUGAAGUUCUAAGUCCUCAGUAUGGUGAUCCAUGCCACUGAUGAUAUGACCCCACAUGGCCUCUCCAACCUCAUUUCUGACCACUUUCUAAUUGCUAUCUGGUGUUCCAGUAUCACAGAACAUUCACUGCACUUCCCUGAAUCCAUAAUGUGGUUUAACACUUGCUGUUGCCUUUGACUGGCAUGUCCUUCCCUACUGAUAUACCUGGAGACCACCCGCCCUUCAACCCAAAGCUCAGGGCUUACUUCCUUGCUGAGAUGUUCUCUGACUCCUUCCCCUCAUCCUUUCCACGGCCCUUCCUCUUGGCUAUCACUGUGCCUUGCUUAUGCAUUUCUUUUUGUUCCUGUCUCGCAUGACUUUCUUUAUUCAUGUAUCUGAAUCCCAUCUUUGUGUCUUAUCAUCUUUGUGUCAUGAGUACUUAACACAAGGCCCUCACAAUAGACACGCCUAAUGAUAUUUCUGAAUGAACAAAUGAAUGAAUGAAGGAGCCAUACUAGACAGAUGGCAUCUGUCCUAUUUAUGAUCAAAAUUACCCCCAAGGAGUUGUAAUUCUUUGAUGAGUUUCUCAUUCCUCUCUUCAAAUAAGUUUCUAUCUUCCGCCAGCUGCUGAAGCUCUUUGAAUGCUUUAAAAUGCAGAAUUCAAAAUUGGCUGCCAAGAAAUGCCACUUCAUUUCCUUUCUAGAAUAGCAUAAUUUUCCCCAUGACCCAGACAAAACAGCAACCCUUGGCUAAUGUUUCAUAAAAAGGGAUUUUUUUUCAGGGAAAAGGGGUUAACUAGAGCGGAAUUUAUCUUGGCUCAUUUCCGCGAUGUUUGCUCCCUAGGUGUUCCUGUCCAGGUGUGAGGACUCUUUCCUGUCUAGACACAGGGGCGGGUCAUUCCAGGUCAGGCUUUUAAUCUGAUGGUGACCCCACCUCAGGAAGUGCCAGGACCCUGUGAACCUUGCAGGCUCCCACAAUGUAGUCAUAGAUCUAGGUGAGGACCACAAUUUACAAGGCGUUUCUCUCUCCAACAGAGAGCAGAUUAGUCAUCUUUCUAAAAAUAGAAGGAGCAGGCACACAGGGGCACUUGUCUUCACUGGGAGCCCAGCCAGCAAAGCCCGUAGACCGACUGGAAGAGUUGGGUUAAGAUGAGCCCCGGGGGCGGUCCUGAGAUUACCCACAGUUUGCCCAACGGUAGUGGGGCAGGCGCCAGGGGCAGAAAAGAGAAACCAGAUACCACUUUUUUGAUGCCCGAGGUUUUCUCUUCUGGUGUGUCCCUGGAUAUAUCACCUCCCCCUGCUCCUGGAGGCGGGAGGACAGAAUUAACAUCCACUUCAUCCCUACUGGGAAGCAGGAAGUGUGUUAGAUGCUUUUCUUUUUUGACUUGUUUUAGUUUUAUUUGCAUUCUUAAAUCUCCAUUUUGCAAGUGAGGAGUCUGAGGAUCAGCCAGGCCAAGUAACUCGCUUGAUUCUACACAACUAGUAAGAUAGAGCUGAAAUGUUAUUCUGGGUAGAUGUUAUUUUAAAGCCCAUGCUUGUUCCACUUAUAUUGGUGCUGUGAGAGAAAAACAGCUAUAAAAUCUGGUUUUUGUGCUUGUGUACCAGAAUUCACACCUUAUGUUAGCCCACCCAGUUUAUGGUCUUAUUGGGCUAAUGUGUCCAGAACAUUCUCAGGCCAACAUUUGGGCAAUCAAUCAACACACAUUAUGUGAAGUGACUGCCAGGUUGAUCCAAAGAGGCAGAAGAUUCAGCCCGUGUGGCAGGAUGUACAGGCCUCCUGGCAAGAUGCAGAGCCCCAUGGUAAUAUAGGAGCUGCUGCAAGUAAGCAUGUCAGCAAUUCUGGACAUUUCUACUAUGACACCCAUGAUGGUGAUGAUCUCAUGGGUGACACAGUCCCCUGGGUCUUUGUGGGACAAUAACUGUCACAUCUCCUCUUUUGGACACUCAAGAAAGUGUGUUAGGCUGCAAGUAAUUGGGAGAAUGUUGUUAAAGGGAUUUCUUGAAUGAAGGAGGAUCUUUGGUAUUUUAAUUGUUAGUAACUAAACACCAGUUGCAAUCUCACAAUAGAUGACGGUACAUCCAUGUGUUUGGAGCUCCUGUGCCUACGAAUCAGUGCAGGAGACAGCCAAAAGUCUAAUGUGGACAAAACAAGCUGUGAGCUGAGGGGAGGGGGAUCUUGAUGGGGCUGGAGCAGGUGGAUGCCUUAUGGGAAAGAGCAGAUGAUGGAGACUCAUGCUAGCGGGCCUGGUAUGUGGAGGAGUUUAAUGAAUGGAGUGAAUUGAAAAAUGCAGGGCACAAAAGGGCCUCAUGCCAAAGGGCUGCAGAUGCCGGCCAGUCACACCCAAGGUCCAGCCCAAGGCAGGAUCCUGUCUCCCCAGGGCAAUGAGGCCACACAAGUAAACCCUCCCCCAUCCUACCUGCAGACUCAGUAUCUUAGGGAGAGAAUCAGGUGGAGAGGGGUGCUCUCGGAGACACUGAGUAUUUUCUAAAGCAACUGCUUGACUUAUCAGACUGGAUUAUGGCUUAAAUAGAAUAGCAUAAGAACUGUUUCCUCCCUUAGCCAGAGGGUAGGGGCUUGCAGGGUGCUUAAUAAGGAGCUUAAUAAGGGCUAAAGUGAAGGAGCUACAUAGUCCCUACCCUAAGUGGAGCGUGAAAUAAAUUUUGUGACUCUAUUACAUUUAUAUUGCUAUUUGCUGGUUUUUCUAUUUUAGAUUGUGUCUUUUACCACCUCAUGGCACUUUCAUCCUAAUUUUUGGUAGUUAAUAAGACUAUCUUUAGUUCUUCUGUUGGUACCUUUGUGUGACUUCAAAUUAUAUGCUUCAAAUCUCUUUCUUGUUCCGUCAACUUUCGGUGAUGUCUCUGAGUUCCCAUUUUGUACGGUAAGGACACUCCUCCAUCCACUACUCCUUCUGCAUUCUAAUUUUGGUCAUUUGGAUAAUUAAUGUUUAUCUUCUGUUCUGUAACCACAUUUGAGUCUUAUUUUACAUUAUGUGUAGGCUGAUUCUAAAAGGUUGAGAAUCAAAAAUAAUUUUAUGCUGCUUUGGCUAGGGAAUACUUUUCCCUGCAGAGCCACGUGUCAGUGUCAAGAUGUCUGCACCUCCAGGGGGGCGUGAACACCGUGUAACAAAUUACCAUAAGCUUAGUGGGCUACCAAAUGACGCAGGUGCUUUGUGGCUUACCAAAACAACGCAAAUCUGUAGUUUUGGAAGUCAGAAGUCCUCUGCUGGUCUCAGUGGGCUAAGAUCAGUGUGUCAGCAGGGCUGGUUCCUUCUGGAGGCUCUAGGGGGAAAAUUUGUUUCCUUGCCUUUUCCAUCUACUGAAGGUCACCUGCAUUCCUGGGCUCAUGGCACCUUCCUCCAUUUUUAAAGCAGGGACCAUUGCAUUUCUCUGAUCCUUCUUCCAUUAUCAGUUUUCUCUCUGACAGUAGCCUGUAAAUGUUCUCUGUUAUUGAGGACUCAUAUGAUUAUGUUGGGCCCACCUGGAUAAUCCGGGAUAAUCUCUCCAUCUCAAGUUCCAUAAUCUUAAUCACACCUGUAAAGUCCCUUUUGCCAUGUAAGGUACCAUAUACACAGCUUCCAAGGAUCAGGGCAUGGACCUCUUUAAUGAAUUGUUAUUCCGCCUACCACACAAAAUAAAAUAUUCCUCGUGUUGAGAAGAAAUAGAUUCUACUUCUUAUACUCCCAUCAGUUGCUCAAAAUUCACACUACAUUUUAAUGUGCUUCAUUUUUGGACUGCAAUUUUCUUAUUUAGGUUUUUUUGUUGUUUUCAGUGGAGUCUCCGUUUUUCUUUUUUUUUUCUUAGAAGAAGUAUAUUUUCUCUACAUCAAGUCCUUAAUGUCUUCCUGCCUUUUGCCUCAAUUCUAUGUGUUAUUAAGAUCCACAUUAGCCUUUUUUUUUUUUAAUACAAUGUUUUUGGAGCUCACCAAAUUCUUGUUCUCGUUGGGACCAGUUGCUUUCUAGGCCUACUGUUCUGUUCUCACCUGGGAUUUCUUGUCCUUGAACUCUUGGUUUGAUCCCAUCAUUUCUUAUAUUCCACAUCUUCAUAUUUGUUGUAUUUUACCCUAAUUUUCAAGCAACUUCCCAUGAAACAAUGCAUGGGAGAUAACCUCUCUGCAUUCUUAUGUGAAAAAUGACCUUCCCCAAUCGUUUACAUUGUUAUCUUGUAUUUUCUUGCAUUACCUUGAUUCCGAUUUCUGGUAUGAUUUGGCUUUCUGAAAAAAAAAUGCCAUUUAUAUAUUUUCUAUGAAUUAUUCAUAUUUUUUUCUAACUUUUAACUGGAUUGUCUUUUGCUAGAGCUAUUUUUAUGUAUAGUGGAGGUUAUAAUACAUAUUGCGAAAUUUUCUUCCAGAAUAUUGCUUAUUUUAAUCUUUUGUUUAUGGAGCUUUUUGCUUCAUACAGUUUAAAUUUAUGGCUUAAAUUUAUGUAAAGUGUUCAGUCUUUUCCUUUAUGGCUUCAGGGUUUUGGGUUUUGCUUAGAAAGACUUAGAUAUUCUAAGUUAUACAGAUGUUAUUACGAUUUUUUUCUGAUAAAUGUGUACUUCUAUUUAUGUUUCAUUCUGAAUCCAUCUUGAAUUUGAGUCUAUGUUUAUUAUAAAGUGUUAAAAUUUUCAAAUGGAUAGCCAGUUGUCUCAACACCAUUCGUAUAUUAGUUUAUCGUUUCCAUCCUGCUUUGAAAUGCAAUCUGCGUCAGAUUAUAAACUCUUGUAUAUUCUUGGGACUUUUUCUGAACUGUUGUUUUCUAUUGAUUUAUUUGUUUGGCCCCUCACCAGGAACACAUUUUUUAAAUUCCAGUAGCUUUAAAGAGUCUUUAGACAUGCACGACAACUUACUUCUUGUUAUUUUAUGAAAUCAUCUUGUAGAAUUUUGUAUUUGUACUUUUUCCUGAAAUCUUAAGAAUAAGGUAGAUAAACUCCAUAAAAAUUCUUUAGGAUUUUGAUUGGAAAACAUUGAAUUUAUAGAUUAAUUUGAAGAGCCUCUUUACAACAUUGCCUCUUGUUACAGGAAGUUAUUCUGACACUUGUUGAAAUGGUAAGAAAGACUUCACUCAGGGCUAUUGCGAUAGGUGUCGACUGUCACAACGUGGGAGAGAGAUUGGGCUCAACUCUGAAUACAGCAAAGACAAGUGGCAGUUUAUAGCCAGUGAGCAGAUGAGUGGGUGAAAAAUUACUAAGAGGAGACCUCAAGGGUAGGGAGAUUCUUGAUAAACCAACUUAGGAUUCUUGCGGAAGGAAGACCAUGGUGGUCAGAUGUCAAGGACUGGGGGAUUCUUGUUAAACUGACUUAGAAGGACUCUUCUAGCAGGCUGAAGACAGGAUCCAAGGAUGAGGCCUAGUUGAAAAG